rnacentral:lncRNA from 1 species
GUCUGCUUUCCCAUCCUUCACUCUUUUCCUUCUGUCUUGUCAGCUUUCCCUUUGUCCUUUUGGCUUUCCUGCCUGCUCUUCCUGCCAACAAGUCUGUACUUUCUCUCCUCCCUCCCGCCCCCCAUUCCUGAUCUCAUUUUCAAUGUAAUUAUAUUUCCUUGGGAGGUGGAAAUAGACGGAUGAAGGAGAAAGUUAUCGUUUAUCACACCCCCACCCUUAAGAUGAAGCCACAGCUAUUCUCCAUGGCGUUCUGCCGGACUUUGAAGAAUGUUGGUAUGAUAAUCGCAGGAAAGAAACUCUGCCUCUGGAAACCAUAUGUUACUGCACAUUCGCGGAGCUUCAAUCUUGGUUCCGCAUCCAGAAGGAACUGUGUGACUCAAGGGGACAGUUCCCACCUCUUCACCGAUCAUGUUUGAGAUUCAAGGCCAGAUGAUGACAUCAGAAACAUAUGUGUUCAUCUGGAGGCAACACUUGGCCUAAGAAACAGAGCAAGAGCUCCAGUGGGAGAACUAGGCUUUCAUUGGCCUAAAAAGAACCCCAAGAGGUGAGUUCCUUUAUCUUUUGCCUCCAGGAAAG